CCUAGGGUGGCCGUAGUGGGGAAUAUUGGACAAUGGGCGAAAGCCUGAUCCAGCCAUGCCGCGUGUGUGAAGAAGGCCUUCGGGUUGUAAAGCACUUUCAGUGGGGAAGAAAGCCUUGGGGCUAAUACCCUCGAGGAAGGACAUCACCCACAGAAGAAGCACCGGCUAACUCCGUGCCAGCAGCCGCGGUAAUACGGAGGGUGCGAGCGUUAAUCGGAAUUACUGGGCGUAAAGCGCGCGUAGGCGGUCUGAUAAGCCGGUUGUGAAAGCCCUGGGCUCAACCUGGGAACGGCAUCCGGAACUGUCAGGCUAGAGUGCAGGAGAGGAAGGUAGAAUUCCCGGUGUAGCGGUGAAAUGCGUAGAGAUCGGGAGGAAUACCAGUGGCGAAGGCGGCCUUCUGGACUGACACUGACGCUGAGGUGCGAAAGCGUGGGUAGCAAACAGGAUUAGAUACCCGAGUAGUC
rnacentral:rRNA from 1 species